GCAGAAGAAACGGAGUGGGAAAUAUCCCUCAAACUGGAGCUGAGCCAUUGGCAGAGGCAGUUCAUCUUCACCUCCGUAACGUUCAGACUCAGGGUCUGUUGAUCCCACGUUUGCUGUACGAGGCGCAAAAUCUACCGAUCUGCCUUUCCUCAAGUCAGUUGCCUUCUUGCAGUGAGCAUGGCAUUUCUGCAGGCUGGUCUGAGUAGAUCUGCUGAAGAACAGAUGGCCUUUGCCUAUUCCUAUGGCUGCGACGCAAUCAGUCUCAUCCAUAUGGUCACAUUUUGUCUGAGGAGGGGACUCUCAGAAGCCAAGAUCUCCCAGACUCUGUGCCUCCCUCUCGAGCGAACAGCAGGUGCUAUCUGGCAAAGACUCAUCUGUUCUAGAUGGCAUUCAUGGUCGAGGGAGCCCAAACUCUUUGAGCUGUAGGAGGGAAAGCUGUAGAGAUUUCUCUCUCUUCCAUUGCGUGUCCUUGUUCUUAAUGUGACAAAAAUGCCCAGGCCAUAUCGCUUGGUGUGUCCCAGCUGACCUUAUCAGAACAUUUAUCAUGUUACUGGUUGCUGACAAAGGGGUCCAGAAUUCAGGGGAGCUGAGAUUGGCCUCUGGACACCUCACUGACUGCGGAAGGAGGGAGGCUCGUCCAGCUGGAGGCGACUGCAUCGCUGAAGGCACUUCAUGUUACUUUUUCAGAAGCACAAAUGUGGUCAUUGGCUUGUCUGGUUGGCUUGGUUUAUUUCCACCACAUCAUCACGUGUGAAUGACUUUUUCUUUUGAAACUGAGAACUCUUCCAAGCACACGAACAUCUCCACAAUGUGAAAUGUAAAUAGCAUGUUGGACUCUCGUGUCCAGUGUUCAAGACUGCAUUGUAAUUGUAAAGGAAAUCGAAUCAAGACUUGGCUGUGAAUUUCUUGUGCUGUCUUGGGAAUAUAACUGUAGUGUUUGUAUCCUGUAUGUAUUAUUAAACUGAGUUCAUUUUAUGUGC
rnacentral:lncRNA from 7 species